rnacentral:rRNA from 1 species
GCGUGGGUGAAGAAGGUCUUCGGAUUGUAAAGCCCUUUCGACGGGGACGAUGAUGACGGUACCCGUAGAAGAAGCCCCGGCUAACUUCGUGCCAGCAGCCGCGGUAAUACGAAGGGGGCUAGCGUUGCUCGGAAUUACUGGGCGUAAAGGGCGCGUAGGCGGCCCAUCAAGUCAGGCGUGAAAUUCCCGGGCUCAACCUGGGGACUGCGCUUGAGACUGGCGGGCUAGAGGCCGAGAGAGGGUGGUGGAAUUCCCAGUGUAGAGGUGAAAUUCGU